rnacentral:rRNA from 1 species
GAUGAACGCUGGCGGCGUGCCUAAUACAUGCAAGUCGAGCGAACGGACGAGAAGCUUGCUUUUCUGAUGUUAGCGGCGGACGGGUGAGUAACACGUGGAUAACCUACCUAUAAGACUGGGAUAACUCCGGGAAACCGGAGCUAAUACCGGAUAAUAUUUUGAACCGCAUGGUUCAAAAGUGAAAGACGGUCUUGCUGUCACUUAUAGAUAGAUCCGCGCUGCAUUAGCUAGUUGGUAAGGUAACGGCCUACCAAGGCAACGAUGCAUAGCCGACCUGAGAGGGUGAUCGGCCACACUGGAACUGAGACACGGUCCAGACUCCUACGGGAGGCAGCAGUAGGGAAUCUUCCGCAAUGGGCGAAAGCCUGACGGAGCAACGCCGCGUGAGUGAUGAAGGUCUUCGGAUCGUAAAACUCUGUUAUUAGGGAAGAACAUAUGUGUAAGUAACUGUGCACAUCUUGACGGUACCUAAUCAGAAAGCCACGGCUAACUACGUG